rnacentral:rRNA from 1 species
UACAGAGGGGGCAAGCGUUGUUCGGAAUUACUGGGCGUAAAGGGCGCGUAGGCGGCCUGCUAAGUCGAACGUGAAAUCCCUGGGCUCAACCCAGGAACUGCGUCCGAUACUGGUUGGCUUGAAUCCGGGAGAGGGAUGUGGAAUUCCAGGUGUAGCGGUGAAAUGCGUAGAUAUCUGGAGGAACACCGGUGGCGAAGGCGGCAUCCUGGACCAAUAUUGACGCUGAGGAGCGAAAGCUAGGGGAGCAAACGGG